rnacentral:lncRNA from 1 species
UCAUAAAAUUGAGAAUGGAAAUGGGGAAUGUGCCAAAGAGACAACCCGACCAUAGAAAAAAACAACAGCAGAAGGUCACCAACAGGUCUUCAAUGUAGCGAGAAAUUCCCGCACCCGGAGGCGUCCUUCAGCUGGCCCCUAAACAAAUAUAUACUAGUUCAGUGAUAAUGAAAGCCAUACUAAUUUCCAAAUUGUACACAAGAAACUAAAAUUAAAAUAAUACAAGACUAACCAAAGGCCAGAGGCUCCUGACUUGGGACAGGCGCAAAAAUGCGGCGGGGUUAAAUAUGUUUGUGAGAUCUCAACCCUCCCCCUAUACCUCUAACC